GCGCAGCAGGCGCGAAAACUUCACACUGUGCGAAAGCACGAUGAGGGAAUCCCAAGUGCUUGCACGUAAGUGUAAGCUGUUUCUCUGUCUAAAAACGCAGAGAGAGUAAGGGCUGGGUAAGACGGGUGCCAGCCGCCGCGGUAAUACCUGCAGCUCAAGUGGUGACCGUUAUUAUUGGGCCUAAAACGUCCGUAGCCGGUUUAAUAAAUGCCUGGGUAAAUUGUGUAGCUUAACUAUACGAAUUCCGGGUAGACUGUUAAGCUUGAGACCGGGAGAAGUUAGAGGUACUCCUGGGGUAGAGGUGAAAUUCUGUAAUCCUAGGGGGACCACCAGUGGCGAAGGCGUCUAACUAGAACGGGUCUGACGGUGAGGGACGGAGCCCGUGGGGCGCAAACGGGAUUAGAUACCCGCGUAGUCCCUGGACUGCCAAGGCAC
rnacentral:rRNA from 1 species